rnacentral:rRNA from 1 species
CCUACGGGAGGCAGCAGUGAGGAAUAUUGGUCAAUGGACGAGAGUCUGAACCAGCCAAGUAGCGUGAAGGAUGACUGCCCUAUGGGUUGUAAACUUCUUUUAUAUGGGAAUAACAUGUUCCAAGUGUGGGAUUAUGUAUGUACCAUAUGAAUAAGGAUCGGCUAAGUCAGUGCCAGCAGCCGCGGUAAUACAGAGGAUCCGAGCGUUAUCCGGAUUGAUUGGGGUUAAAGGGAGCGUCGGUGGAUUGUUAAGUCAGUUGUGAAAGUUUGCGGCCCAACCUUAAAAUUGCAGUUGAAACUGGCAGUCUGGAGUACAGUAGAGGUAGGCGGAAUUCGUGGUGUAGCGGUGAAAUGCUUAGAUAUCACGAAGAACUCCGAUUGCGAAGGCAGUUCACUGGACUGCAACUGACGCUGAGGCUCGAAAGUGUGGGGAUCAAACAGGAUUAGAUACCCCAGUAGUC